GACGGGGGUGUAGCCGGGCCUCCCGAGGGCAUGGUGGCACGCCCUGGCUUCAUCCACUCUACACCUGGUGCACUUACUGGUGGGCUUUCAGACGUCGUGAAGCGGGCUCUUUACGGAGCUUGUAGAGCGUGUCUGUGCCUGCGUUUACCACAAACUCUAUAAAGUAUUAGAAUGUGUAUUGCGAUGUAACGCAUCUAUGUACAACUUUCAGCAACGGAUCUCUUGGCUCUCGCAUCGAUGAAGAACGCAGCGAAAUGCGAUAAGUAAUGUGAAUUGCAGAAUUCAGUGAAUCAUCGAAUCUUUGAACGCACCUUGCGCUCCUUGGUAUUCCGAGGAGCAUGCCUGUUUGAGUGUCAUGAAAUCUUCAACUUACAAACCUUUGCGGGUUUGUAGGCUUGGACUUGGAGGCUUGUCGGCCGUGUUUCGGUCGGCUCCUCUUAAAUGUAUUAGCUUGAUUCCUUGCGGAUCGGCUCUCGGUGUGAUAAUGUCUACGCCGUGACCGUGAAGCGUUUUGGCGAGCUUCUAACCGUCUCGUUUGUGAGACAGCUUUAUGACCUCUGACCUCAAAUCAGGUAGGACUACCCGCUGAACUUAAGCAUAUCAAUAAGCGGAGGAA
rnacentral:rRNA from 1 species